CUCUCUACCAGCUAACAGCUUCCAGGCUGAGCUGGGGCCCAGUUACUGCAGAUUUUUAAUUGCAAAAAACCUUGGAGUAUAUCUUGUCCAGCUGCCUCUCAUCCUACAAAUAAGGAAACUGGAGCUCAGAGACAUUAGGUGACUUUCUCAAGAUCAUGCAUCUCAAUCUCUCUCUUAAGAGAAAAUGAGUGGGGACCAUGGUAGGCAACAACUUCCUCUUGACUAUGGGCUCCUGCUGGAGGAAGAUGUCCCAAUAGCCCGGAAGAGCUCAAGGAGGAGAUGGAUACUUGAAGACUUGCAGCAAGAGCUCACAGAGCUGGGCAUCCCCUUAGAUAACCCACCAGGACUGGAUCCAAGUGGGAAAUCACAGGAUGUUGGCUCUUUUCUACCAUCUGUCUUUGCUCCCUGUUUUUAUGGAUGUGCCCUGAAAUCAAAGUCUAUGCCACACUCCCACCACCCUUCAGGCACUUCUGGAGCCACCACCUCAAAACUCCCUCCAUCAACACCUAGGGAGGAGCCAGCAUCAGCCCUGACCCAACCACCAAGUAGGCCUGCAACUCGAUCCAGUUUUCACACAACACCCCACACUGGAUCCCAAGCUCCUUCUUCUGGGAGGAGAUCUCGAACUCUGGGCAACCCUCCACCUAUAAGACAACUAGUCUCACUGCCUGUUUGGCCUCAACCCUUUCAUUUCACCAUCGCUAAAACCAAGCCUCAAAGAGUUCACAACCCUCCUGUUGAAUGUCUAGGUCCCAGGUUCCCAAGAUGGAGAGAGAAAAAACAGUCCUCUUUGCCUUCUUCUCCUCCUAUCUCUA